UCGCAAAUCUGCCCGGCCGGAAAAAGAGGAUAAGGGAAGAGGAAGAGGCGAAGGAAGAAGCGAGAUAAGACAAAGAAAGAAAUAGCAGAGGGAAGGAGCGAAGGAAGAAGAGAGAAAGAAGCGAUAGGUGGCCGGCCGCAAAGGAGAAGCGCCUUAACCAACAGCGGUACCUACGGGUUCCGGUUUUACAAGGACAUGCCAGGUCACGCUGAAAGGUCAGUGCCAAAAGAUGAGAAGCAACCCGGUUUCGACAACUAUUCUACAGAGGAAAAAUCUCUUCGAAAUACAGUCUGAUUAAGUUUGUAGAAGACUUACACGCGCGUGUACACUAACACGGGUACCUAAACGACGUUACCAAUCGUUUUGUAUACGCGAUACCAAUUCAUCCGUAAAAGCUCGUGUUGUUGUUUCAGUAAGUAUAGUGGGCUCUAUACCAACUGUAUACGUGAUACCUUCUUGUUAUACCAGGCCAACCGAUGGACUCAGAUCUUAAUCUCAUCUAGCUCACUUUAAACUUUCGUUUUGGACAGUUAGACUUGUGACCAACCACGAACCUACACAAAGCAAGAGUGUUUAAACCGUCAAGAGUACACUACUACAAGAAGGUAUCAAUCACUUCAAACCAGGGGUUUAUCAUACACGUUCCACUAAGUAUCACAAUAAACCAAUUCGUUAAAAGGAAUAAGGCGUACCCACGAUAAAAAAGUUAGUAAGAGUUAGACUUGUACUAUAUACAGAAGGUAUACGUCACUUCAAACCAGGGUAUAAAAAUACUCUUUUCCACUGUCUCACUACAAAGGAAAACACGAUCCACUAUAAGAUUAAAAAUAACAGAAAACGUCUCAAACGGGACGUCUUAUAGUAGAUGAAUUCGUACCAAGAUUAAUUGAACAAUAAGACACAUAAACAAAGAAUUAAUUAGUUGAAAGUCGCAUUUGUCUUUAACAAAAACAAAUAAUUGUAAGGUUGUAAACAAGUAGUAGAUAAUUUGAAUAAGUGUAAGACAAGUUGAUUUAAGUAUUUCUUACUUGUUACUGUUAAGAAUUCUCAAGUAAACAAGGUAAAAAAACAAAUUGGAUAAUUUUAGAUAACAAGUUAAAACCGUCCGUAACUUGUAAAAAUUACAUACAACUUGUAAAAAACUUAUGCGUAACUUGCAAAACACACAAGAUACGACUUGUUAAAAAAUUAUGUGUAACUUGUAAAAACACAUUAUAUUCGACUUGUUUUUAAGUUUAUGUGUCACUUGAAAACAUCAUAGGCAACUUGUAUAAGAAUUAUAGGCUCUUGUAAAAGUAUUACGUAUCAAUUAUAAAAAAGACUUUAUAUGGUACUUGUUAAAACAUUAUAUGCUACUUGUAAAAACACAUUUUUUACCUUGUAAACAAAAAUUAUCCAAUUUGACUUUUUUUGUUUAAACUUGUAAACAAUUUGUUGAAAAUAAGUAACGGACUGAAAAAAAAGUUAUAUAAAUGUAUAGAGAAAAAACAAGUUAAACAAUUGUUUUUUCUACAAGUUGAUGAACAAAUACCAACUUGUUAACAAAUAAUUUGGACAAAGUUAGCCAAGUUGUAAAAAAUUUGUUUAAGAACAAGUAAGGUAAAAAAUUUGAACAAGUAAUUUUACCAAGUAGAUGAAAAUAAUAAUUUCUUUAAGCACUCUUCAAGAAUAUAGUGUAUCAGUUAACAUUUCUGUUACUUUAAGUUGAUGGUGACCACUUUAGUAAGGACGUCGUUGUACAUGUGUAAUUAGAAUAAGUUGUAAAUGUCGUUAUCUCCCAACAAUCUAUACUAAAACACCGGAUUGAAAUAAAUUAAAGAAAGAUAAGAAGUCCCUAAGGCGUAUAAGUUUACUUAGAGUACUCCUUGUAUAAAAGGAACCUUUAUGUCAUCACCACGUGUCUCUGUACCUACUUGUCUACAUGUUCACCUGUUCUUAAUGUUUACGUUUCUCUCGGUUGUUUAUAUACGGGUGAGCACUUUGAUGAAAAAAGAAACUCUUGUAAAUAAGGUAAAACAUCGUUUAACACGGUUUUGUUACGAAAACGACUAAGAAAAACAGAGACUUAUAACAAGUUGUGUUCUUAAAUGGGAAGUGAAAUAAGAAAUUAAUAUA
rnacentral:rRNA from 1 species